UGAGGAAUAUUGGUCAAUGGGCGAGAGCCUGAACCAGCCAAGUAGCGUGCAGGAAGACGGCCCUAUGGGUUGUAAACUGCUUUUAUGUGGGGAUAAAGUGCGUGACGUGUCAUGCAUUGCAGGUACCACAUGAAUAAGGACCGGCUAAUUCCGUGCCAGCAGCCGCGGUAAUACGGAAGGUCCGGGCGUUAUCCGGAUUUAUUGGGUUUAAAGGGAGCGUAGGCUGUCUAUUAAGCGUGUUGUGAAAUAUACCGGCUCAACUGGUGGCUUGCAGCGCGAACUGGUCGACUUGAGUAUGCAGGAAGUAGGCGGAAUUCAUGGUGUAGCGGUGAAAUGCUUAGAUAUCAUGACGAACUCCGAUUGCGCAGGCAGCUUACUGUAGCAUAACUGACGCUGAUGCUCGAAAGUGCGGGUAUCAAACAGG
rnacentral:rRNA from 1 species